rnacentral:rRNA from 1 species
GAGUUUGAUCAUGGCUCAGGAUGAACGCUAGCGGCAGGCCUAAUACAUGCAAGUCGAGGGGCAGCACGGUAGCAAUACUGGUGGCGACCGGCGCACGGGUGCGUAACACGUAUACAAUCUGCCUUUAACAGGGGGAUAGCCCGGAGAAAUCCGGAUUAAUACCCCAUAAUAGUGGAGUUGGCAUCAACUCUAUUUGAAAGCUCCGGCGGUUAAAGAUGAAUAUGCGACUGAUUAGCUAGUUGGUAGUGUAACGGACUACCAAGGCGACGAUCAGUAGGGGAUCUGAGAGGAGUACCCCCCACACGGAUACUGAGACACGGAUCCGACUCCUACGGGAGGCAGCAGUAAGGAAUAUUGGACAAUGCCCGCAAGGGUGAUCCAGCCAUGCCGCGUGCAGGAAGACGGCCCUAUGGGUUGUAAACUGCUUUUGUACCGGAGAAAACCUCCCCUCGUGAGGGGAGCUGAUAGUAAGGUAAGAAUAAGCAUCGGCUAACUUCGUGGCAGCAGCCGCUGUAAC